rnacentral:tmRNA from 1 species
GGGGAUGAAAGGCCUCGACAAAAAGCACAUUAAAUAAAUGCAAGCUGAGUGAAUCUCAAUAAACUUCAAAGGCACCAAUAAAUGCCAACUUAUUUUCAAAGCUAAGGACAGCAUUUGCUGCACCAGCUUUAGCUUUAGCGUAAUAAUCGCUUUAGCCAUCGGCUCAUCGAUGUCUAAUAGAUGAACAACCGGUGUUAUUAUUAGGCUUGGGUUGACGCUUGCUUUUGACAGUCAAUCGAAAUAUUAAAAAGCUUUGGUUUGAAUGAUUUCGCGGACUUAAUAUUUUCAAACCGAAAAAAACAAGUCCGAUAUGCUUGUAGAUUUUAUUUAACACAACUUUUUGGACGCGAGUUCAACUCUCGCCAUCUCCACAA